rnacentral:lncRNA from 1 species
GUGUGUUUGUUUCAAGUUUACCAAAUUUAUUUCUAGGAAUAACAUUCCUUGGAAUAUAAAGAUGGGAAUUUUAUUCCAAGGAAUUUAGGAAAAAUAUGUUUGGUUAGCUUUAUAAUAUUCCUAGGAACCAUAAAAAUAGGGAUUAUAAUAGGUAAACUAUUUAUGAAUUUAUUCCCAUCUCUAUGGGAACUUUAUUCCCACCCUUUU